rnacentral:rRNA from 1 species
AUGCUCCCCGCGGACGAGCUCUUCUCUGACGGGAUGCUGCUACCGCUCCGCCGGGCUGAUGCUUCUGCCGCGGCUGCGCCAGAGCCGGAGCCUGCCGCCGCGCCACCUCCGCCGCGGCUAGAGGCAAUGCCGGCGUCCCCGGAGCCGAUCAAGCCAAUCCGCGGCGGCGCGGCGGCUGGCGCUGCCGACCAGCACGUGUUCUCGCCCAAGGCGCCCAGCUGCUCGAGCCGGUGGCACGAGCUGCUCGGGCUCAAGAGGGUGGCCGCCGCCCAGAGCCCGAGGACGCCUUCGCAGUCGCAGUCGCAGUCGCAGUCGCCGUCACCAGCGGCCGCAUUGGCGAAGACUCCCGGGAGAAUGUCGACGGGCACCGCGUCGGACCUCGCCUCGGCGCCGCUUCUCCGCGACAGCUCCGACUCGGAGGCCUCGCUCUCGCUCGCCUCCUCCCGCUUCUCGCGCUCCUCCUCCUCGUCCUCCUCCGGCCACGACCACGACGACGUCAACCCGCGCUUCUCCCUCGACUCCGCUGCCGACCCCAACCCUCCGCGCCUCCGCCUCGACGCGUCGAGGUGCCUCUCCGUGGACUCCCCGCGCAUGAACUCCUCGGGCAAGAUCGUGUUCCAGCAGGGCCUGGAGCGCAACUGCAGCUCCCCAUGCAGCCUCCACGCCGCGGCCAGGUCGCGGUCCAUGGCCUGCGCCGUCAACCGGUCCUACUCGUCCGGCGUCCACGUGGCCCCCGUGGUGCUCAACGUGCCAGUCUGCUCGCGGCCGGUCUUCGGGUUCUUCAAGGACAAGAAAGAGUCGGCGGCCAGCAAGGACUCAUCCUCAUCGAGGUCGUCGUCCCGGUCGUCGACCCUGGGCCGGAAGACGACGCCGACGCCAGACGCCGCAGUGGUGGAGCGGCGAGCAGGCCCUGCGGGUGAUCCGUCCGGUUGA